rnacentral:rRNA from 1 species
GAUGAACGCUGGCGGCGUGCCUAAUACAUGCAAGUCGAGCGAACGGACGAGAAGCUUGCUUCUCUGAUGUUAGCGGCGGACGGGUGAGUAACACGUGGAUAACCUACCUAUAAGACUGGGAUAACUUCGGGAAACCGGAGCUAAUACCGGAUAAUAUUUUGAACCGCAUGGUUCAAAAGUGAAAGACGGUCUUGCUGUCACUUAUAGAUGGAUCCGCGCUGCAUUAGCUAGUUGGUAAGGUAACGGCUUACCAAGGCAACGAUGCAUAGCCGACCUGAGAGGGUGAUCGGCCACACGGGAACUGAGACACGGUCCAGACUCCUACGGGAGGCAGCAGUAGGCAAUCUUACGCAAUGGGCGAAAGCCUGACGGAGCAACGCCGCGUGAGUGAUGAAGGCCUUCGGAUCGUAAAACUCUGUUAUUAGGGAAGAACAUAUGUGUAAGUAACUGUGCACAUCUUGACGGUACCUAAUCAGAAAGCCACGGCUAACUACGUG